GGAUGUUGCACUUGAGUCUGACAUCGUAGAAGGACCAUCCUUGCAACAUAUUGUCUAAUUUUUGAUGGUUUCGGGGAUGUUGCACUUGAGUCUGACAUCGUAGAAGGACCAUCCUUGCAACAGAUUGUCUAAUUUUUGAUGGUUUCGGG